GACAUUUGUUACCAAUUCAACAAGCUGUAAAGCAAUGUUUUUUGUUAUCAAAGAUAGCGAAUGCUUGGACCAGUUUGUCUAUGGAAACUAAUGCUACCUAUAACCUAAUGAACUAUAUCGCUAAAUGGGUAUUACGGUUAAUAGACAAAAAAUGUAUUAAUUGAUAUGGGAUAAAAUAUUCACUUAUUAAUAUUUAAGUAUUUCGCUCCAAGCGUGACAUCGCACAUCGCUAUAUGACAAUGCUGUGAAGUCCCGUAUCCGCAUUAGAGCGCCAAACGAAUAUCUCCGAACCCUCUUGACCGAGGUAAAACAAGUCCAAUAUUCUACAUAUAACCUCGCCAAGCUAUCUCGACUCAACUUGCCCAGAGUUGUGUUAUCAUGGUACUCUUUUUCGGUUGGUCUAUAGCGAAGUGUUGUCUCUUCCUCGUCUUUGGGCGAGAAAUAAUACUACUUGAUCAAUUCCCCCUUGAAUCCCAUCCAUACAUGAAAACUGCCCAUUGCGAGAUUCUCUCCACAACACCUAAGAUCACGGGAUACUCUUCAAAUGACAACUUCCCCAAUUAGUUCUCCUACAUCUCUAGGAUACACUACCGUACUUGGCCAUCCGAGGAUUUCGCCGUGAUCCGCCUCGAUCACGGCCCAUUACUCCGUCUAUAUAAAGGCCGCUCCCCCAUCGUUAUGAGGUACGAUUGAAUAUAUAUAUAUAUUGAGAGCUUUGUUAUUUGUUUUAGUUUAUCUUCGCCUUAAUCUGAUUCACACGCCAGAGGGGGUUUGAGCGGCUUCACCCUGGCCGUUUACUUUUGUUCGCCUGCGCAGAUCGCCCGAGUACUUACCCAGGAACAAUUUUGACUGUUGAUUGCUCGCUUCAGAUUUUUACCACAACAUUAAUAAACAUAAAAUAAUAUAAAUAUUUUUCCGACCGUGCACCCGUCAACAAGAUUUUAGUUUAUUUGUGUGUGCUUAAAUCGUAUUAUUUAAUUUUUUUAUUUUUAGUAAUUUUUUUCGUAUGGUAAAAAGCUUUUUUUUUUGUUCGUCUAAAUUAUAGAAAUCAGAAAAGGUAUAAAAUAUAUUUUUUACAAGAAAACAAUCACAACAUUCCCAAUUUAUUACGAAUACAAUUUUGUAGUAUUUUUAAAAAAUUAAAAAGUUUUCGGAUUUGAACGAAAAUAUUUCAAUCUGUUCCAUAGUAGCCCCCACAGUAACAAAAUCCGAUCGAGAGUCAUGCCGUGAAGGACGGUCUUACACGUUGAAUAUCACGCACCGUUAUUAUCGACACAUGCCGAAUCAGUGACUCCAGCAAGUGAUUCCUGCCAAUACUACCAAACACACUCCAGCCAUGUGUCCCCGUGAACAUAAUUCUAUACGGAGCCAACUCAGUGCAGGACUGCUCAGCGAAUUUGUGGCCCCCAUUAUUAUAAUCACUCAGAUUCUCUCUCCGAUUGCCCGUUUUGCCAACAACAAAAAAUUUUCAGCAACAAGUCUAUAUUGUUACCGACCACUAUCGAGGACUUUUGUGUGUUUGAUGAGAGGAGAGAGGAGAGAGAGAGAGAGAAACCAGAGGAGAGAGCUUUGAUGGAUUGGUGGUGUUGAUUGAGAGAGAGAGAAGGAGAUUGGGGAAGAGGGAGAUGCAGAGGCGAGGGAUUCCUGUGGAGUCAACCAUUUUUCUGACCUGACUUAUCUCCACGGUCUGCCGUGUUUCUAUAAGACAUUAGUAUUACUUGUGUUAUGGACAUUUAUUAAAAAAAUUUAAUUUUUUUAAUCUAUUUAUUAGUAUUGUAAAUAUAAAUAUAUUUUAUUUUUUAAAUUAAAUAUUUUUUUUAUAUUUUUAAUAUUUUUAUCGAGAAAUAUUAAAAUAUAUUAAAAUUUUAAUCAAAUCAAAUAAUUAUUAAAUACCCAAAAAAUAAUGGAAAAAAAAAUAUUUUUUUGUAAGUCCUACUAAAAAAAUGAUCUUAUGGGUAAAAUAUAUUCAUAACUUUAAAAAUUUUUUUUGACCAUUGAAUCAGAAUUUUAUCUGAACUCAAAUCUUUGAAAAGAAUGAAUGAUGUUUUAUAGGGAAAAAUAUAAUCUCAGAUAAAAUCUAUAUCUAUGUCCGUUAGAUUAACUCAUUCUAGAUUUCAAUCGUAGAUGGUGAAAGAUAAUUUUUAGAUUCAAAAUAAGUUAUAUUUUAUAUUAUAAGAGGAUAUACUAAAAAAAAGACCUAGAAAAUAUUAGACUUAAUUUCUCCAACCCCCUAGACUAUCUUAUUUUAUUUUUUACUCUCUUAUUUAAAAAUAAAAUCGUAUUGACUCUAUAACUAUUUAAUUAUAUCAUUUAUAUCCUUCCAUUACUUAUCUGUUUAAAUAUAUUAAAAUUAAUCAUGUUUGUUUAUAUUUAAUUCAAUUAAAUGCUCUUGGAUAUUGAAAAUACUAUUAUUUUUUUUGUGAGAAAUAAAGUCAUAUCCAUUACAAACAGACUUAUGCAGUCAUUAAAGACAAAUAUAACUCUUAGAAAUAAGUCUUUAUCUAGAACGUUGACUUUUAUUUCGUAAAAAAAUAAAUAUAUUUUGGAUAUAAAAGGUAUAUAAUUGGAACAUAUAAACAACAUGUGAUAGAUUUUCAUCACUAUUUUACAUGAAUUAGUAAUAAAAAUAGUGUAAAUAAUAUAAUUAAAUAAUUAAAAAUUUAAAAGGAUCAAUAUAAUUUAUUUUUUAAGUAAGAGAGUGAAAACGAUAAAAUACGAUAACAAGAUGUACGAGAAAUUAAGCCAAAAGAAUAUACGUGGAGUAAUGAUUCAUGCACUCUAUUCUUUAUUAAAAAAUAUGAUUUCAAAUAAACUUUUUGGGCCCAAAUAGAAUAAUCCAUAAUAUGGCUUAAUGGCAAGUUUAGUCCCAACGUAUAGCAUGUGUCGUAAUGUGGUCCCAAUGUAUCAAUUGUAUUAAUUUAGUCCCCAUAUUUCAAAUGUGUAUUUAAAUGGUCCCUACUCUAAAAACAAAUCACUAAAAAUAAAAAAAAUUCAAAUAAAAAUUUUAAAAAUUCAUAGAAUUUCGUGUAGAAAUUCAUAAAAUUUCAUAAAAUUCUAUACACAAUUUUUUUUUUUUUAAAGUAGGGAUCAUUUAUAUACACAUUUAAAAUAUAAGGGACUAAAUUAAUACAAUCGGUACAUAAAAAAUCACAAUACGAUACAGAUUAUAUGUUAGGGACCAAACUUGCCAUUAAGCCCCCCAUAACAUCUAGUUUAGAUUGACUUUCUACUUUUAUUUCUUAUAAUCAUGGUUUUUACUCUACGCAUCUAUUUUGUUGAAAUGCUAUAGAAAAAAAUGGGUAAAAGAAAAAAAUAUAUAUACUUUUCUUUGUUAAUUUUUAGAACUAAACAUAUAUUUUGAGUAGUUUAUACUCAACUAAAGGGCCACGAAAUUAUGCGUGCGCGUGAAAGUUAGGGUUCAAUGUGAUUCAAAACCACUUUGUCCAUAACUCUAUCGGUUAAAACAUUAGUGCUCUAAUGACUCAUCCUAUUAGUGUUAUCUUGUCAUUUAUAAAUAUUUUAAAAAAUUAUCAUUGAAGCGACGUAAUACUUUGUAACUUUAUCCAUACCUUUCAUAUAAAUGGUAGCACAUGGGUAAAUAAUUUUUUAUUUAUCUCUUAUCCGUUUUGAAUAAAUAAAUACGAUUAUCUACUCGUAAAAACAAAUUCAUUUCACACGUGGUUCAACCAUUUAAAAUCACUUAAAAUUUGAGUUCAAAACAGCUCAAACUUUGCAUAAGCUAGUGUGCAAUGUCGUUUAGGAUGACAAGGAGUCCGGAUAAGCUGUGAAUUUGCUUCAACACCAAACGUCAGAUCAUAAACGAAAGGCCAACAGUAUAACAGUUCUUGAACAGAUCUAAUACGACACCGUCUUACUAAAAAGCGUUUUCAUCAAAAACGCAUCGUCACCUAAUUCUCCACAAACGGACCAAUACUGCCGUUAUCUAUCUGCUAACACGUGUAAGCUGAAGGCAAAGGCAACUGGCACGUGGCACAUAUAUUUCUCUUUGUUGUUAAUAGAAAAUGUUGUGAUCACCGAUCAGAUUGGAUUGUUUUUUUGGAAACAUCCACAACUUAAACCGUUUUUAAUGAUUCAAGAAAAUUUUAAACCAAAGCAAAACGUUUUAACCUUUGAAAACCAAACUGAUUUCAAGAUUUAAAAGCAUAAUACCAAAGUCUAUAAUAUCUAAUAUCAGAAGAAAAAAAAUCGAAUGCAAUAAAAUUAACUUCGAUAAAAACUUCAAAUCAUAGACUAAUUUAGUAGCAUAAAAAAUCAAAGAGAAAUAAUUUCUACACUCCUAAAAUUAAUUUCUGUACUUCAAAUUUUAUAAAAAUAAGAGUGCAAAAUCAAUACCAAUAUGGUAUUGAUUUCUGCACUCCUAUUUAGAAUGCAGAAAUCAAUUUUAGGAAUGUAGAAAUCAUUUCCCAAAUCAAAAUGUAGACACAUAAUAGUUUAUUUUUUUAUUAGUAAAAAGUACAAAUAUAUAUAAAUAAUAACAUAUACGGUUUGGUUCUUUGGUUUGAUUUAAAACCGUAGUCAUGUCAUGAAAAUCGUAAAUCGAACAGUUAGUCUAUGGUUUAUAAAUUUAUAAAUGUAACCAAACUAUUAUAAUAAAAUAUCAAACUAAACUAUAAAAAAUAGUUCGAUUUAGUCAAAUUCACUAUUUGGUCGAUUUUUUUCUCACCUAUAAGAAAUCCCACUUUGAUGAGGGAUGAAUUUUCACAUACUCAAAUUAGCUACUCCAUAAGAAGGGAUGAUUCAACCCGAGGUAACUAUGUUGUCGAAAUCUGAGAAGGUCAUGUCGCCAAUAUCUUUCGUGAUCGCCAAUCAGCAUGCCAAGCUGCCUUAUAUCGCCCGUGUUUUCCUCCUAGCAUCUUAAGUCGCCAACACUUGGUGCUUGGUAGUUUAUGUCGUCAAUCUCUCCAGAUCGAGAUGAACAUGAUUGACUCCAUUUCUACUACGGUCUCCUAUAACCGCGGCAUGACUUCCACGCGGUAAUC
rnacentral:lncRNA from 1 species